GACGAACGCUGGCGGCGUGCUUAACACAUGCAAGUCGAACGGAAAGGCCCUGCUUUUGUGGGGUGCUCGAGUGGCGAACGGGUGAGUAACACGUGAGUAACCUGCCCUUGACUUUGGGAUAACUUCAGGAAACUGGGGCUAAUACCGGAUAGGAGCUCCUGCUGCAUGGUGGGCGUUGGAAAGUUUCGGCGGUUGGGGAUGGACUCGCGGCUUAUCAGCUUGUUGGUGGGGUAGUGGCUUACCAAGGCUUUGACGGGUAGCCGGCCUGGGAGGGUGACCGGCCACAUUGGGACUGAGGUACGGCCCAGACUCCUACGGGAGGCAGCAGUGGGGAAUAUUGCACAAUGGGCGGAAGCCUGAUGCAGCAACGCCGCGUGCGGGAUGACGGCCUUCGGGUUGUGAACCGCUUUCGCCUGUGACGAAGCGUGAGUGACGGUAAUGGGUAAAGAAGCACCGGCUAACUACGUG
rnacentral:rRNA from 1 species